rnacentral:lncRNA from 1 species
UUAUUUUUUGCUUUUUAGGGCCACACCUGCAGCAUAUGGAGGUUUCCAGGCUAGGGGUCCAAUCGGAGCUACAGCUGCUGGCCACAAUAGCAACGUGGGCUCCGAGCCAUGUCUGCAACCUACACCACAGCUCACGGCAACGCCAGAUCCUCAACCCCUGAGGGAGCCCAGGGAUCGAACCUGCAACCUCACAGUUCCUAGUCACAUUUGUUUCUGCUGCACCAUGACGUGGAACUCCUGGGUACACCCCCUGCCUUAAAACGAUGUUUCCUUUUUUUAGGCUGAUGGGCAACUUAAUGAGCUCCCUCCUGUGAGCAUGGAAAGACAUACCUUCAUUUUUUCAUAGAUCCCGAGCUGAUGUUCCAGAAUUCUAAAACAAGCAGGUCAUCUACCCGGGCUGAAAUUAUAUCCACUUUCUUUCACUUUUUUUUCAUACUUAACAUUUUUCACUUGAAAAGGACAGUGGAUGCCAAGAGCUAACUACGAACACGUGUUUUGCUCCAAACUUAAUUACCUAAAAGCUCAGAAAAAUCGAGAAGAAAAACAUGAAGACCGUAACAGAUUAACGGAGGAAACAAAUGCACGAUUCACAAAGAUGGGCCUGUGGUUGGUAAAGAAACAGGAGGAAAUAUUUAGCUUCCCCCCAAAUCAACAGGAGGCUAAAUGUACAAGAAUUUUAUACAAUUCUCAAAGAAAUGACACCUACCUUCUGCCUCAGUAGUUUCCCAUUUGGGAGAUGAUUUCACAGAAAUCAAAGCAGCAGCAACGUGUCAGCAGCAAGGUGGACCUGCUAGAGGGCUUCACUUUUCCCAGCGCCUAACGCGCAGAUGCCAAGAUUUCCCGGAGGAAAGUGGUGGCAGUUGCUGCUUCCAGGGGCCGUGUCCUCAGCCUGCGAUGUGGAAGACAAAACGAGGUGGCAUUUUCUAAAGGCAGGAGGAGGCCCCCAGGACCCCGCGCUAAGCUGGAAGCUGGCGAGCGUGACUCCUUUAUGGAAAAGAUCUUCUGUCCAACGCCACCAGCGUCUUGCUGGAGGGAGAGCAGCACGUGUAAGUGGAAGAUUGAACAUUACAGCGGGACACACGGGGAAACGGCUUUCUUGUCCCAGAGAGAGAUGUAGUCACGUCUUCUUUAGUUCCUACAAUAAUGUUUUGAAUUUCGAUCCCAUGCACAAUGUCGUCUGAUAUUUCAGGUGGGAAUAUUUUGGUUUUUUAAAAGAAUUUUUCUCAGGUUUUGUUUUUAAUGAAAGUAUAGUGGAUUUACAAUGCUGUGCCAAUGUCUGCAGUAUAGCAAGGUGACCCGGUCGUAUAUAUACAUUCCCUUUCUUAUAUUAUCUUCCCUUAUGGUCUAUCCCAAGGGACUGGAUAGAGUUCCCUGUGCUGUACAGUAGGGAGGUGGGGAUGUUUCAGUUUGAAUGUUUUUUUAAAAAAAUAUCUAGUCAGUGUUUUCCAUGUCUGACAUGGUCCAGAGAAGCAGAAUCUUCCAGAUAAAUGUUUGUCACCAUGAUGGCUGCUUAUAAAUCCUUACUCCCUUCCUCUCAUCCAAUUUAACUUGGGAGAGUGGAGACUUCGGUUUUAAAAGUUUUUUUUUUUUUUUUUUUUCAGAGUUCCCGUCGUGGCUCAGUGGAAAGAAAUCCAACUAGGAACCUUGAGGUUGCGGGUUCAAUCCCUGGCCUUGCUCAGUGGGUUAAGGAUUUGGCCUUGCCCUGAGCUGUGGUGUAGGUCGCAGAUGCGGCUCGGGAUCUGGCGUGGCUGUGGCUGUGGUGUAGGCCGGCCGCUGUAGCUCUGAUUAGACCCCUAGCCUGGGAACCACUAUAUGUUGCAGGUGCAGCCCUAAAAGGCCAAAAAAAAGUAUUUUUUCUUUGUUAUUCCCCACUUCCUUUUUUUUUUUUUUUAAAUUAGAGUGUAGGUGAUUUACAGUGUUGCAUCAAUUUCUGCUGUGCAGUAUAGUGACCCAGUCAUACGUACAUAUACAUCCUUUGGCUCAUGCCAUCAUGUUCUACCCCAAGAGACUAGAUAUAAUUCCCUGUGCUGCACAGCAGAACUUCAUUGCUUAUCCAUUCAAAUGUAAGAGUUUGCAUCUACCGACCCCAAACUCCCCGUCCAUCCCACUUCCUCCCCUCUCCCCACAGCAACCACAAGUCUGUUCUCUAUGUUUGUGAUGUUUGUUUUGUACAUAGGUUCAUUUGUGCCAUAUUUUAGAUUCCACAUAUAAGUGAUAUCAUAUGGUAUUUGUCUUUCUCUUUCUGACUUCACUUAGUAUGAGAAUCCUAGUUGCAUCCAUUUCGUUCUUUUUUAUGGCUGAGUACUAUUCCAUUGUGUAUACGUAACACAACUUUUAAUCCAUUCAUCUGGUGAUGGACAUUUAAGUUGUUUCCAUGUCUUGGCCAUUGUGAAUAGUGCUGCUGUGAACAUAGGGGUGCACGUAUCUUUUUGAAUUGUAGUUUUGUCCAGAUAUAUGCCUAGGAGUGGGAUUGCUGGAUCAUAUGGUAGUUCUAUAUUUAGUUUUCUGAGGAACCUCCUGCCUUGCUGGGUGGUUAGCUGGUCUCAUUUCGUCAUCUGGGCAGGAGUUGGGGCUGGAGCCAUGAUGGGCAGUGUGCAGAGACCUUGGCAUGGGGUGGGGGGCCGUGCCCUUCCCCCUGCUCUCCAGGGCCAUCCUUGGGGCACAUGAGUUCAGGGAGGGGUCUGUAUCUGUACCUUCUUUCUCUUGGGCUCCUGAACGUGAAACUUUUCUCAGGAGACAACAGACAGAGACUUUUGGCCAAAGUGCACCCUCUAAGGGUGUGUGUGCAGAGUGGAGGGGCCCUUCCAAAAGGUGGCAGGCCUGACGGCUGUCACCAUUACCCUGUCCAGCCCAGGAAGCCACUCCUGCUCCAGGCUCUGUGCUGUGAGCCUACUGCUCAGAUAUGACCACAUGAGCAUGGCAUCUUUCCAGAGAGGUGUUAUUAGCCAAGGGUUCCCGAACCCCAGGCAGGACUAUCCCAGUGGCCUUUCCUCUGCCCACUGGGAGCCUGCUCCAUGCUGGGCUUGAUCCAAGUGAGGAGGUCAGUUGUCUUCAGACUUGACCUCAGGGAAACGUGUGUGGGAUGGCUGAAGGGAACAUGGAAACGACAUUUUCAAUAAAUAUUCCAUGUACCUGUUAAGAACAGGGGCUGCUUGGAGUAAAUGUUGUGGCUCAGCGGUAAUGAACCCUAUCAGUAUCCAUGAGGAUGCGUGUUCAAUCCCCGGCCUCGCUCAGUGGGUUAAGGAUCUGGCAUUGCUGUGAGCUAUGGUGUAAGUUACAGAUGUGACUCGGAUGUGGCAUUGUUGUGGCUGUGGUAUAGGGCAGCAGUUAUAGCCCUGAUUUGACCCCUGGCCUUGGUAUUUCCACAUGCCAUGGGCGUGGCCCUAAAAAAAAAAAUACACCAAAAAAGAAAAGGGACUGCCCGGGGAGGGGGGUGUUGUCAAGAAAUGGGUCUGGGGAACUCGGCUCCCACCUGGAGCUCCACUUUCCAGCUGUGAGACCCCCAGGGAGCCAGGUUUUAUCAUCUGUAUAAAGAGACGGUAGGAGUGUGGGGAUGGCCUCUCCGACUAGGGGUCUGUCCAUCGAGUGGCCAGAUUGCACAGAUGAAUGCCACUGGGCUCCACUUCCAUGGCCCUCACUUCUUCUUUUUUUUUUUUCCCUCAAGGAUUUUUACUUCCUGGUACUAACAUUUUCCUUUUUUUUUUUUUUUUUUUUUUUCUGGCUGUGCCCUCAGCAUGAAGUUCCCUGGCCAAGGAUAGCACCUGAGCCACAGCUGUGAUCCAAGCCAUAGCAGUGACAAUGCUGGAUCCUUAACCUGCUGUGCCACCAGGGAAAUCCCUCUUUUCACAUUUUAUAGGAAUGUCACUUUCAGUGCAUGUUCCACAUGAGAAAAAGCUACUUUAUUCUUUUUUUUUUUGAAUAAAUUAUUUUUCACUGCCUUGUGGCAGUCAUUUUAUUAUUUUUUAUAGUGAUUUCAUUUUAUUUAUUUUAUUACUCAAAUGAAUAUCACAUCUGUAGUCGUAUAAUGAUCAUUCACAGGAUUUCCAUCCCAUAACCCAAGCACAGCCCCUCGCCCCCCAAACUGUCUCCUCCAGAGACCAUAAGUUUUUCAAUGUCUGUGAGUCAGCAUCUGUUCUGCAAACAAGUUCCGUCCGUCCUUUU